rnacentral:lncRNA from 1 species
AUUAACGGUGUCUUCCUCCUAUUCCCACUUUUUAAAAAUACUAUUCCUUCUAUUCCCACUUGCAAAUAACAAUAGAUGUUUUGAUAAAUAAUUUGUUUUUAUAACAAUCAGGGUUAAUUAGAAUUUCACCUAAGAUUUACCUGUAUUUUUUUUAAAGCAUAACAUAUUUGGUACACUGUUUAGGUAUAAUACCUGGUUUAUUUGUAAUAUGUUUCUUUUUUCAUCAAAUAAAU